UUAGAAAGAGAGCACAGAAGAAACCGAGGAGGAGGAGCGGUCAGCGGUGUGUCAGCACGCGAGCACAGCGAAAGGGAAAAGAAGGGGUGGGUGGUUUAGGAAGGGCAGCUUUGAAGGUGGAGCCUCAGGUGGUUUAGGAGAGUGGCAGCGGUUGUUGACGACGAGACGAAAGGAAACGAAGCAUUGGUUGGGUAGCGGGAGGAGGUUAGGGGCAGGGGCAGGUGGGGUUAGGCCGGUCGGCGGCGGUAAGGAGGGGUAAGGCCGCCGGGCUUGGCGCGUCCGACGAAGCGCGCGCGCCGGCUGCCCACACCUCCUCCUUAGGUCGCCGUAACGGCCUAAGCCGAGCUCAGGUCAGCCUCCUCCACAGACAGACUGGCUGUCCGCUGUCCCAAACCUCCUCCUUAGCUCGACGUAACGACCUAAGCCGCCGUGAGCAGCUCAACCUCCUCCACAGACUGACUGUCCGAAACAAAAUUAGUUCGUGAAGUAAAGGACGUCAAUAUAUACCUUUUAUCUCCGUGGUUGUCUCGAUACUUCAUAAAACAUAAGUCUACUGUAUUCCUCAUAACUCAGAACAUAUAAACACUACUUUCAACCACGAGAAGACUGGAGACGACCUUAGUUGUAACCAGAGACAUAUGAAAAAGACAGUAAGAUAAGGCAAGACUCUUUCGUCGGUGUUUUACAAUUCCAGAUAAAACCCUCUUCCUAACGACUCGUCGUAUUCGCCGAGGCUCCCCGAAAAUAAAACCUCUCUAAACAAGGUAGGGGAUCGACCUAACACUCUUCAGACGUUACGUGCCUUCUACUCUAGGAUAGAUGGCGACCCAACCUACGUCAACAAAAGUUGUCUCAAGAUCAUAAAUCGUAUGCGUAUAAGAGUAAUCGACGGUAAGAUACAAAUAAACCUCAAGAGGGGAACUUAAUAAAACCUGUUCUAUACGCAGUACUUGCCUAAGGAAGUCGUAGUAACCUCUGUAAGUGUUAUCCUUUAUACUUUCUCUUUAGUUAUACCGAGACCCAGGUAACGCAGCACGACAUGUAGUAUAGACCACAUCGAACGAAAGAAGAUAUAUACCUUAUGUUCGCAUAACGAUCUGACUCCAACGAAGUAGAACAAGCUUGUUGCUCGUUUGUAUCGGUAAAAUGACAAGAACAGGCACCCUAUGGUUUCAGUUGAGUACUUAGUAAGUUGUCACGACAACUCUCAAAGAAAUGUUGCAUGGUACGUGGCUCGAUGGAUAGAGUAGUUCAACAAAUAUUUCAACCAUUUGAAGUCUUCUAUCACUGCCCACGUUUCUUCCAAAUAUCCUUCAAGUUCGUAAAAUUCCCAUGGUGUCAGCUAGUCUGUACGUCUAGGCACUGUAUAGCUACAACAGAAACACCCCACAGUAGUUUAAGCAAGGUCAACAACGGGUGACUUCUCGUUCUCUCCCCUUUUGGAACACACUUUUUAAGUUUGAACUUGAAUGGACGGCUCCUUACACGACGACGAAAACAUAAAAAGUUUUGCGCCAUACGUCGCGAUUAACAUAGGUUUUAAGAGGUCUGUAGGUUAGGAUACUUUACCCAGUGAUCAGACCGGGGUCUUGGAUUUCUGUACAUGACCAGUUUAGAAACCAAUGGCAUGUUCGUCGAAACCUAAGCGGCGUAUCGAUGUGAAGAACCAAGAUAACAAAAAUACAAGUAAAAAGAACAUGGACACUGUAAAUAUGUUCCAGAUUGAGUCGACCUUGUCGACGUUGUUUCCGAGGGAAAGGACUUUCCCAAUAACUUUCCCUUUUAGUACUGGGUCGAUCAUUGACCUAUGGAAGGGUCACACUAGAACGUUUAUAAAAAUAUAUGACAGGGGGGUUGGUACUACUACAAACGCUGUGAUCUCCCUGGAUAAAGAGUGUCACUUUCCUUCUUUUCACGGACAACAUUUCAUAAUAUGAAGUGGUAAACCUUACAGAAGAAGCAGUUACAGGAUAGUCCAAGACGUUAAUUGGUUGACUUACGGAACAGUUCUGGUUUCCUGUAAGGUUACCUCGAACGGUCCCGUUAAGGAAAUGUCCGGUGGAAGAAAUGGUGGAUACAAGACUGGAGUCCUACCCGAUCAGACAGUAGGGUUCAAUACGUUGAGAAACCAGAAUAAACCUUGAAACAUUCCUUUAUAUAAGACUCUUACUUUCUUCUAUCGCUAACCCAGGAGAGCAAAGGCAUAGUGUGACUUGAUGGUUUUCAAGACAACAAACCUGAUAACCCGAAGUGUACGAGACACGAUCGUGGAGAGUAGGACGGGAAAAAUGAUGAGAUGAAGAAAGAACGGAUGUAACACAUGGCUUUAGUCAAGUAGUUACAAAUAACGUGUUCUAUGCUGUGACCACCAGAUAUAACCGGUCAACGCAUGUUACGCUGUUAUAAGAGAGACCACGAGUGGGUCUAGUAGACGGAACCACAGAAACCGGAAUUUCUUAGGGGCCAUCGACGUCCGAAGUGACAUGGUGAAUAGUAGUAGUGAGAAAAUAAGUUGGUCAUAACAUCUUACGCAGAAGACGGCAAUAAGUCCUGAAAGGGACGUGUCCAAAACUAUCUGUACCUGUCUCUUCUGCUCGUUAGUCCAUCUUACCUCGUCUAAGUGCUCCCGGAAGUAAGACGAAUGACAGUCAGGUGGCUGUGCCUUAGGCGGCUACUGUAUAGAAACCUUUUUCAAGGUCGAUAGUCAUGUUGUCUACUUCUACCGUCGCCGUCGAGUCCACUUGGAUCACCGUUUCUUUCACAGCCUGUUGGUCAUUGGCUGAACAGAGUGGGCUGUGACUUUCCCGAGGGACAACUAGCCAAUGCCGCGCGCCACUCUAGUGAGCCAAAGUACUAGCCCGACGUCUUCUCUCCGCACAGCCGCAUUCGGCACCAACCACUUACAUGUAUGACGUAUGUUACACGUGUAUCUUGUUGUGUCUCUCUGGUUCUAUGUGUGUAUGCCUGUAAUGCGACGAGGUUCCUUUUUUUCUUUACCUCACAGCGGACAAAAAGAAGAGAAAGCUUUCAGCUACACAAACGGACAAACCAACGCUCCCACGUUAAAACACAAAUUUAGCUGCGAAUGCGCUGAAAAGUCCGGUAAAAACCGGUACGUGCCUGGGAACUUAACGAACGACGUAACAUUGGAGUCAAUUUGUUCAACAACACGUUCUUUCGUUAGGUAGGUACAGAUGUACACCG
rnacentral:rRNA from 1 species